GUUGUAUGGUGAUGAGCGCGUGCUUAUCUUCUUCUAGUUCUCGAAGAUGUUGAUCCCGAAAAAGUGUAUGUCCUCGGAGGCCUCGUGGAUGAAAGUAUACACAAGAACCUGACCCUGCAAAGGGCACAAGGGCAGUCCUUGCAAACAGCCCGCCUCCCAAUUCGUGAGUAUAUGGUAAAAUCCAUGAACACGAAGAACUACUACUCGGAGACGCUGGCAAUUAAUCAAGUCUUCGAUGUCUUAUCGACUUACUACAGAACCCAAAGUUGGCCAGAUGCUUUGAAAGCUGGAGUUUCUUCUGGAAAAGGCUACGUGCUUCCGGACGGAGAGAAAUCAGUGAAAAAUACCUCAGCGUGACAAUGCACAAGAAAACUCUUUUAUUUCCUGAAAGUUAAGGAGCUGUGCAAGCAAGAGUAGCAAACUGCAGAUUUCAAGCAGAGGCACCAGUGUGAAUGUGUGCAGAGAAAACAGCUCUGCCUAAAUUUACUUACGUACGGACCUCGGCAAGAGUGACAGAUUCUGCCUCAGCGGUACAGUGCUGGAAAUGACUUUACGCCCUGAACAGAAAACAGAAGCCAGCUGAGCCCUGAGAUCAACAAAGAGUCGGUAGGAUUUCUUUUUUUUUUUCUUCUUUUCAACAGGAUUAAAUAGGAAGGAUUGUAGAGCACGCCAGUUAAUAACAGUCCUUCCCGUGGAAAAGGACAGCACUGUUCUAACUGAGCACAGGAUGGGAAGUGAUCCAAAAUUAAUAGACAAACGGUGCCCAGAUGCACCAGAACAUGAUUUUUCUUCCUACUUGUACUGAGGACUGGGUGUCUUGGUGUGCUGCCGAAGCCUGUAGUGAAUCCUGUGCAUGCUGGUCACAAUCUAUCUAAAAUAAAGUAUUCAAAUUUCUGUUGCCUCCUUACAGUAACUGAUGUCUUGUGUCAGUACGUGAUAACGGACACUAUGGCCUGAGCAGAGAACGCUUCUGAUGCAUGUAAGAUAAUGCUACUUCAGCCACUGUCAGUUAAAAAACCCUGCAAACACACAGAAAAGCCAAACCUGCUAUCGGUGACUCUCCAAGAAGGAGUUGGAGGGCUUUGCAGGUAAAUUCCCAUCACCUUUGCCUCCGUCUUCAUCUCCCCUUCACACCAAGGGCCUUUGACACCACGGGGAAUUUGGUACUCAUGACACAUACUGUCAGCAGGUGGUUCCUCCCCAUAGAGGCUGAAACUGUGUUUGCAGGUGCCUGUUGCUUUACUGUGUCCUAGGGCUCUUCCUGCUUGUAUUCGUGUUCCGUGCUCAUCAAGCUGUUAGUAGGUAGGUAGAUGUCACUGCAGCUCUGCCAAGACAGCAAGGGCAGCGUUUUGGCUCCAGUGUAAGAUUUUUAACUUCCUGAUUCAGCCCCUGAAUUUGCAGGGCAACACUGCAGAGUAGCUGAAACCACCUGCCAGUGAUGAAACGGCAGGGAAUCCUGCUUGGGUGAACUAUUCAGCUACCCCCUCCAUCCUAAGCACGCAGCUGCAGGGACUGACCUGCUGCAAGCAUCACCCUUCCCAAACAAGUCCCUGGGUCAGAUACCAGCGGUCGAGGACCUGCUGCAACCCUCUUUCCCACCAGAUUGCUGAGGAUGUGCCUCCAGCACUGGAAAGCACACAUUCACUAGAGGUGCUCCAUUAGGAUACGUUUAAGGGCUAAUAGCUCAUAUCCAGCUAGGGAUACCUAGCACUUUGUGCAGCUAUUGACAAGAAGGUCGGGAAAAGUGGCGUGCCUUCGAGGGAGGCUGGCAUGAUGGGUUAUGUCAACAGCUGCAAAGUUGGCACUUCUGUCUUCAAGACUUAUCCCCUUUUUUGGAAGACAGGUAUCAUUAGGUAGCUACUUCAUGGCAAGGCUAGCACUGGCGGAGGCUGCCAAUUAGGGAUGCUCUUCAGCAUUAGCAACUGUAAAUAGAUCAGACUGACACACAGAAACUACAGCAGGAGGACAGGAUAUGGUGCUGCAUCCCCAGCCUGGGACAACCUUCUCUACGUUUGCAAGGAGGAGCAGAUAAACAGUGUAAUUCUUUCUCCCAAAGUGCUUUCCAUCACAGUUCAACUGCAGAGCAGAGCGGCCCAGCUCUGUUUGGUGGACCAGAUGGGACUCUGAUCUCACCCUCCUUCACAGCUCACUUGGUCACCUCUCUGCCUGUGGCCUGUGCUCCACAGGUGACAGAGGAGGCUAGGACAAUGCUCAUCUGACUGGCUAUCUGCAAGGUGCUGGGGAGCUGAAGGACAAAUCCCAGGCUACAUAGAUAAGCUAUGAAGUGCUCUGUGAGUUUGCACGUUGUGUACGCAGCAUUAGAUAAAGCGAGGCUGGAGUGGCACAAGCUCUGUCCCAUGGCCACCCCUGAACUAGGCAGCUGUUGGUGGAAGUCAGUUGACACACGGAGGUGCCCUUCCGUGACCACAUGCUGAGCUGUGGGGGUUAAAUGUCCUGCGUGGGAGAGCCUAGUGAUGCACGAAGGAAAUGUGGGGAGGGUCCUCCGCACCCACCAACCGCCCCGUCACGGCGGGGGGACCCUGAAGUGCUGCAGGAGGCAAACCAUGGCAGCAGUAAGGGCUGUGUGCUGGCGUGUCAGGAGCGUGGUGCCCAGGUCUGGGCAGCCUUGCCUGCAAAGCUGCUGGUGAACAGCCUGCACUAGCUGGUGGUAGGUGCCCACCACGUCCACGAGCGCAGCGCUGAGCUCCUGCUGCCUCUGCCUGCAUAGCUGGCAGUGCGUCACCUGGAAGCAGGCCACUGCCAGCUGAACAAGGUGGUCAAACGUCACCCUCAGCACCUCCUGCAGCUCUUCGAGCGGACGCUCCGUUUUCAGAAGCUCCUUGCAACUGGACAGCAGGUCCUGAGAGGCUGAGCCAAGGGCAUCUUUGCUCUCAGCACCCUGCUCUGCGCAUCGGUCUUGCAGGUGGGCUGCUCGGUUCCCAGAGAGGUUCCCCACAACCUCCUGGAGCUCGGUAGUGUAGGCUAGGAAGCAGGAGAAAUCUGCAGGGCUCGUCCAUGCUUGGUCCUUCAGCUGGCUGAGGGCUUGGACUUCAGGGCCCAGCGCCCCGUCCCACGCAAUGGGAAUGGGGUAACUUCCCACAGAGGUCCCAGGAAGACCGCAGCUGGUGGACGGUGGGGUAGUGACGGGCUGCAGAACCAUGCUGCACAUGGGAAUGGUGGUUUCCUGCUUUCUGUCUUCGUCGGGCCUAUGGAAGCAGCUGACAUAGGGCAGCUG
rnacentral:lncRNA from 1 species